rnacentral:tRNA from 1 species
AUGUCGCGCUCCAGAGCGCGACGCUCCCCCGAACGUCGAUGUCGCGAGUUCGAGUCUCGUCAUCC